UGCUGAUCGGGUGAGAAGCAAAGCUGGAGUUUUUUUUUUUUAAUAAAUUUGCGAGAAAAAAGAAAAAACCUGCUGGAAGUUACGGCCACAAAGGAUCAUGUGCACUGCAUCCUCUUAUUGCACUGGGCCUUCAACAAAGACGUCCAGCGGGAGCUCCGGCAAAUUACACAAGAUUUGGUUUUUGAUCAGCAAAUCUUCAGAAGGGGGCUUCUUCAAAGAAAUAACUUCCCACGUCUCUUCUGAGGCCCGAACAAAAACUCCUCCUAAGUGAAUGGCUUCUGCUCACAGCUUGUGGCCGCAGCUGGCAGCAUUGUUGGCCACUCUCGUCCUCCGACGGACGGGGCGAGGAUGAAGGGCGGCGGAGGUGGUCGACGCAACAGAAUGAUCUCGCCUCAGGAGGGAAAAUACGAGCUGAAAGCUUGGAUGAAUCAUCAUGUUGCCUUCCCCUAAAAAACAUUAGUCUGUCUGGCAGCCUGUCAUGUAUAUAAAUAUAUGUGCACAUCUAAAUGUUUUUUGUACCAGCAAAGCACAUCAGCACAGCCAUUACUUCAAAGUAUAAAUGGCCCGAAGUCUCGUCGGUAGAACGAAGUCACUUGUAUUUGGCUGAAUCCCAAUGGCCACCCUCUGGAAUUCUGAUCGUUGAUGUUUUCAGCAUCGUCACUGAUUGAACCCUCUCGAGAAGUCGCUCGAAGUGCGUAUGACUCCGGGUGAUUCCCAAAGGCGUGCUGCAGUUUCCCCAACCAGAGCGGUUCAGCCUUUUUCUUUACAGAGGUGAAUAAUGUGUGUUUCCAUGUUUAGUUUCUCCUAUUUUAUGAUUCAUACUACGAGUGCAUGAAAUGUUGAAUGAAGAGCCCAUCAAGGCUCCAUUAAUUGUUAAAGGCACAUUUUUAUAAUUCUUUAUUCUGAAAAUUAUAGUUCCUUGUUUGCUCACAUGAAGUUUCUCCAUCUGAAGUAACGUGAGAGCCCGAUUGUUUAAUAAGUAUUUUAUUUACGCAGUUUCAAAUUGUCAACGUUGUCACAUUGUUGAUUGAUUGAGUCACUAUGAUCCAUAGUGAUGCUGCUAAACUCAGCGUACACAUUGAGAAUUCCCCACUUCGCCCUGAUCGUCUGGGUCCGUCGUAACUCUGCCCUGAAGGGUAGUUGAGUUGUUUCGGAAAUACUUGGGUUUCCUUGGGUUUGAGUACAAGUUGUCGAUCUUUAAACAGCAAGAUAAAACACUGCCCAAAGGGGGAAAAACAUAUUGCUCCAUCCUCCGUAUGUUUUAGUUUUUAUUGCUUUUUUUGAGGUGAAAAGUGUUCUCCAGCUCAUUUCGUUCAACCUCAAUCAUCAUGUUCUUCUCCUUCCAACGGAAAACGUAUUAUAUUUGUGACAACUAAAGCCCCAUUUUGUAACAAUCCUCGCUUGGUUAACAAAUGAUCAGAGAUACUUUGGUCAAGGUACCCGUCACCUGGAACUGACCACACAAGCCCGGCCUGUUGGGCUGCUAUUCCUUUACCAUUCAAGACAAGAGGGGUAUUGAUCCAGAAGACUCUCUUAAGCGCUGUAGUUUGUCCUCUCAGGGUGCAGCUGACGGCUUGGAAUGGAGAAGUAAACAGGCACUUGGUAAAUAAAACACCUAGGUCAACAUAGCCAUUUCACCCAGGUUACUCAGUGUGUGUGUGUGUGUGUGUGUGUGUUAGUGGGCAAACCUGUAACUUGGUAACCACACUCAGCGUGGUCAUUCAGCGGUCAGAAAGGUUGCUGAAGGUUGCAGCCAUUGUUUCAAUCAGAUGUUGUAUUGAUAUAAAUCUUAAUUAAAUGCUUGGUAGAGUUGUGUACAUUUUAUUUGCAGACAUGCAUUUGAGAGGUUGGGGGUUAAACUAAGAUCCUGACUGUGAUUUUUGCUUUUGCUCGUGAGCAAAAAAGUACUUCCCAACCAAAGCCAGCAAAGAUCAGAGGUGAGGGUCAGGGGUCAGAGAGGCGUGGCCUCAGUCCCAGAGACGCCCCCAGGUUUACACAAGUGUAAAAAGAGUCCAUUCAGAUGGGCUGCAUGGGCAGAGUUUCACAAAGGUCCACUGUGUGGGGCCUAUACACCCCCCCCCCCAUCCACACACACACACACACACCUCCUCCUCCAAGCGCCAUGCCUACACAGGACGCAGACAAUGGGGAGUCUGGUCAGCAGCGCCACAUGCAUGUUGACCUGAAAUACUUUCCUGCAUUACAGCAGAAUGAAACUACCGAUUUC
ensembl:lncRNA